UUGCUGAGGAAGAGAUUGUUGAGCCUGGGAAGGAAAUGGAAAUGGAUAUGGAUGAAGAAGAGAUGCAACUUGUUGAAGAGGGUAUGCGGGCUGCUAGGUUAGGAGAAAACGACAAUGACAAGAAUGAUAUGAAGGUAGAUGAGGAGCCAGAGCCACCAAUGAGAAUUGUUAAGAACUGGAAGAGACCUGAAGAGAGAGUCCCCACUGAAAGAGAUCAUACAAAAUUUGUUGUCUCUCCGAUCACAGGUGAACUAAUUCCAAUCAACGAGAUGUCUGAACAUAUGAGGAUUUCACUUAUUGAUCCGAAGCACAAAGCGAGGAAAAGUUGGAUGCACACAACCACGUCGAGUUGCUGCUAUGAGCAUUGCUGCUCGAGUAUCUCAAGAACUGGGUGUCAAGCUUGGGCAUGAGGUUGGUUAUUCAAUACGUUUUGAGGAUUGUACGUCAGAUAAGACUGUUUUAAAGUACAUGACAGAUGGGAUGUUGUUACGAGAAUUCCUUGGUGAACCUGACCUUGCAAGCUACAGUGUUAUAAUGGUGGAUGAGGCUCAUGAAAGAACAUUAUCAACUGAUGUUCUGUUUGGAUUAGUGAAG
rnacentral:misc_RNA from 1 species